UUUUCUAUAAAAUUUUCUCCUACCUUAGCCGUUCUAUUGUCCUUUGUUUUUCCUUUUCCUCAAUUUUCCUUCAUUUCCCUUCACUGUGCCACCAUCAACCUUCUCUUUUUUCUGCCUAUCUUUCAUUCGUUGAAAGAGGAUUUUUACACGAUUUAGGAUUUUUACACGAUUUUCUUUGAAAGUAAGCCACUAAAGUCUCCCAAAGAUCACCAUUGCUGCUCCUUUGCUAUCCUUUGAGUUCUGAUUUAAAUGGCCCGAACUAGCAGUGAAGCUGUUAGUCGUUCGAGCACAUGUUUCGCAUCGAAUCAGUGUAAUUAGUCAAGUCAAUUUGUAUCUAAAAGUUAGUUGUUGUAAUACUGAUUUAAUUGAACCCUUUGAGGGUUUUUUAAGACUGAUUUAACAACACUUUAACUUGAUGAAUGUUGUAUUUUAAGUUUGGUUCAAUUUAUGUCUGAUGGAGGAAUCAUGAGUUUCACAAGUAGUGCUAGGUUGUGCGAAAUUAAGGUGUGGGUUCUAACCUAUAACCUUGAAUGUCUAAAUAACAUUUGUAGUUAUUAAAUUGAUGUUUAAGAUUGUUGUUUAGGCUUAGUUAAGUGGCUAAGUAAGUGAUUUUACGGUGGCCGAAUUAGUUACUUUGCAUGUUUGCAAAGUUGCAUGGUUGACUGUUUAUUUGCAUGACUGGUAUUGGUAUGAAAUAACAUGAAUGGUUUGAAUA